rnacentral:rRNA from 1 species
UACGUAGGGUGCGAGCGUUAAUCGGAAUUACUGGGCGUAAAGCGUGCGCAGGCGGUUGGGUAAGUCUGAUGUGAAAGCCCCGAGCUCAACUUGGGAAUGGCAUUGGAAACUGGCUGGCUAGAGUGUGGCAGAGGGGGGUGGAAUUCCGCGUGUAGCAGUGAAAUGCGUAGAGAUGCGGAGGAACACCGAUGGCGAAGGCAGCCCCCUGGGCUGACACUGACACUCAGGCACGAAAGCGUGGGGAGCAAACAGG